UACGUAGGGGGCAAGCGUUGUCCGGAAUCAUUGGGCGUAAAGAGCGUGUAGGCGGCCCGAUAAGUCCGCUGUGAAAGUCCAGGGCUCAACCCUGGGAUGCCGGUGGAUACUGUCGGGCUCGAGUCCGGAAGAGGCGAGUGGAAUUCCUGGUGUAGCGGUGAAAUGCGCAGAUAUCAGGAGGAACACCAAUGGCGAAGGCAGCUCGCUGGGACGGUACUGACGCUGAGGCGCGAAAGCGUGGGGAGCAAACAGG
rnacentral:rRNA from 1 species